ACGUAGGUCCCGAGCGUUGUCCGGAUUUAUUGGGCGUAAAGCGAGCGCAGGCGGUUAGAUAAGUCUGAAGUUAAAGGCUGUGGCUUAACCAUAGUACGCUUUGGAAACUGUUUAACUUGAGUGCAAGAGGGGAGAGUGGAAUUCCAUGUGUAGCGGUGAAAUGCGUAGAUAUAUGGAGGAACACCGGUGGCGAAAGCGGCUCUCUGGCUUGUAACUGACGCUGAGGCUCGAAAGCGUGGGGAGCAAACAGG
rnacentral:rRNA from 1 species